AUGUCCUCCAUGCCGCGCUCGUACCCCCGCCGCUCCCGUUCCGCCAGCGCGCGCGCGUGCUCGCUCUUCACUCCUCCAUGCCGCGCUCGUACCCCCGCCGCUCCAGCUCCGCCAGAGCGCGCGCGUGCUCCCUGCUCGACCCCCGCGCCGCCAGCUCGGCCUUCGCCUCGCGCAGCUCCACCCGCAGCGCGUCCGGCUCGCGCUCGCGCGCCCUCAGCUUCCCCUCCAGCUCCAGAGCGUGGCCCAGCGAGAAUGACACCUCGCUCGCCGCCUGCGCAUCAUUGCCAUGUCGAUCGAUCCAGAUCAACGAAGCAUGCAGGAACAAUCUCCAUAGAACAGGAGCUAAUCUGA
rnacentral:rRNA from 1 species